rnacentral:rRNA from 1 species
AUUGAACGCUGGCGGCAUGCCUUACACAUGCAAGUCGAACGGUAACAGGUCUUCGGAUGCUGACGAGUGGCGAACGGGUGAGUAAUACAUCGGAACGUGCCUAGUAGUGGGGGAUAACUACUCGAAAGAGUGGCUAAUACCGCAUGAGAUCUACGGAUGAAAGCAGGGGAUCGCAAGACCUUGUGCUACUAGAGCGGCCGAUGGCAGAUUAGGUAGUUGGUGGGAUAAAAGCGUACCAAGCCGACGAUCUGUAGCUGGUCUGAGAGGACGAUCAGCCACACUGGGACUGGGACACGGCCCAGACUCCUACGGGAGGCAGCAGUGGGGAAUUUUGGACAAUGGGCGCAAGCCUGAUCCAGCAAUGCCGCGUGCAGGAUGAAGGCCUUCGGGUUGUAAACUGCUUUUGUACGGAACGAAAAGCCCUGGGUUAAUACCCUGGGGUCAUGACGGUACCGUAAGAAUAAGCACCGGCUAACUACGUGCCAGCAGCCGCGGUAA